CCUACGGGAGGCAGCAGUGGGGAAUCUUGUGCAAUGGGCGAAAGCCUGACACAGCAACGCCGCGUGCGGGAAGAAGGCCUUCGGGUCGUAAACCGCUUUCAGCAGGAACGAAAAUGACGGUACCUGCAGAAGAAGGUGCGGCCAACUACGUGCCAGCAGCCGCGGUGACACGUAGGCACCAAGCGUUGUCCGGAUUUAUUGGGCGUAAAGAGCUCGUAGGCGGUUCAGCAAGUCGGGUGUGAAAACUCUGGGCUUAACCCAGAGCCUGCACCCGAAACUGCUGUGACUAGAGUUCGGUAGGGGAGCGGGGAAUUCCUGGUGUAGCGGUGAAAUGCGCAGAUAUCAGGAGGAACACCGGUGGCGAAGGCGCCGCUCUGGGCCGAAACUGACGCUGAGGAGCGAAAGCGUGGGUAGCAAACAGGAUUAGAUACCCUGGUAGUCCACGCCGUAAACGUUGGGCACUAGGUGUGGGUCUCUAACCAACGAGAUCCGCGCCGUCGCUAACGCAUUAAGUGCCCCGCCUGGGGAGUACGGUCGCAAGACUAAAACUCAAAGGAAUUGACGG
rnacentral:rRNA from 1 species